GACGAACGCUGGCGGCGUGCCUAAUACAUGCAAGUAGAACGAAGUGGCGAACGGGUGAGUAAUACGUGAGUAACCUGCCCUCCUUUUUGGGAUAAGCCUUGGAAACGGGGUCUAAUACCGGAUAAAGGGGGAUGGGCUCGCGGCCUAUCAGCUUGUUGGUGGGGUGAUGGCCUACCAAGGCGGUGACGGGUAGCCGGCCUGAGAGGGUGACCGGCCACAUGGGGACUGAGAUACGGCCCAGACUCCUACGGGGGGCAGCAGUGGGGGAUAUUGCACAAUGGGCGAAGGGCUUAUGCAGCGACGACGCGUGGGGGAUGAAGGCUUUGGGGUUGUAAACCUCUUUCGGUAUCGAACGGGUAGGUGUAGAAGAAGCGCCGGCUAACUACGUGCCAGCCGCCGCGGUAAUAC
rnacentral:rRNA from 1 species